rnacentral:rRNA from 1 species
CAUGCCACCCUGAAUGAGCCCAAUCUCAUCUGAUCUCAGAAGCGAAGCAGCAUCGGGCCUGGUUAGUACUUGGAUGGGAGACCACUUUGGAAUACCAGGA